AUCAUCACAUACACAUGUCAUCACAAGGACUUUUCAAGGCUUAUAAUGUGGUUGGGCUAACAAGGAAAAUUGGUUUUUCUAGAUCACAAAACCCUUGAGUUAAGAGAGUUAGUAUACAUUCAUAGUUCAAGCACAAACUCUCUCUUUACCAAUCUCACUCAUUCCCAACUUUCCCUUUUCUUCACAUUGAGCUUUUCUAUUCAUGCUUUUUCUUUUUCUAUAUUUUUCAUCUUUUCUCAUGUAUUUUCUUUUCAAGUCAUAAGCUCAAUGCCUAACUUUUCUUUUUCUUUUUCAAUUCUUCCAACAACCCCAAACUUGAACCGUUAACAAUUUCCCAAAAAUAUUUCUCAACCUAACUUAAGGCAAAGAUUUUC
rnacentral:lncRNA from 1 species